AUGUUAACCAUCAGUGGGGUCCAAGCCGAGGACGAGGCUGUCUAUUACUGUGGUGGUAGCGACAGCAGCAGUUGUGAUUGGGGUUCCCUGGUCCAGGCGGCGGUGACUCAGGAGCCUUCCUCGCUGUCGGUGAACCCAGGAGAAACCGUCAAGAUCACCUGCUCUGGGGUUAGCAGCAGCGGCGAUGUUGGCUGGUACCAGCAGAAG